rnacentral:piRNA from 1 species
UGCCAUGUUUAUGUGAGUGGGACCCUCUA